rnacentral:rRNA from 1 species
UCGGGAAUUUUGGGCAAUGGGCGCAAGCCUGAUCCAGCCAUGCCGCGUGAGUGACGAAGGUCUUCGGAUUGUAAAGCUCUUUUAGCAGGGAAGAUAAUGACGGUACCUGCAGAAUAAGCCCCGGCUAACUUCGUGCCAGCAGCCGCGGUAAUACGAAGGGGGCUAGCGUUGUUCGGAUUUACUGGGCGUAAAGGGCGCGUAGGCGGUGUGUCAAGUCAGUUGUGAAAUCUCCGAGCUUAACUCGGAACGGUCAACUGAUACUGUCACACUAGAGUACAGAAGGGGUCAAUCGGAAUUCUUGGUGUAGCGGUGAAAUGCGUAGAUAUCAAGAGGAACACCUGAGGCGAAGGCGGGUUGCUGGGCUGAUACUGACGCUGAGGCGCGAAAGCUAGGGUAGCAAACGGGGAUU